CGGCAAGAUGGCGCCGGGUGAAACGCCCACUGAGAGCCUCAUUUUCACUCUUCAGAAACCAGCGGGUGACGUCAGUCUAUGGUGGUAACGUGAUACAUGUGAGCGUUGACAGCUCGGAGUUAGAGCCCCCCCCCCUUUAUAAGGACAGGUGCCUCUAUUACUGCCUCUUUGUCUGAUGCCUGGUAGAUGGUGACUGCUGUGUUUGUGCAGAUUUCUGUGGCCCCAUGGUUGAGUGAAGAUUCAGGGUUCGCCUCUCCCCUGUUUGAGCCACAGUACAGAGUCAGCCAUCCAUGGUCGCUGUACAGUAGGGCCCCAUAUUGAGCAAGAUUAAGUGCCAGACUGCUGCUUUGCCUAAUUCCAGUGUUGUCUGACCACUGGUUUCUGCGUUGGCUUUAUCCUGUCGGUCCGACGUCUCACGCCUCACAUUCCUGAUGGACUGUUCAACCUUUCAUCGUGUUGAUUGUUGUUUUUAAAUAUUUUAUUGUGACCCUGAACCAACUGCCUCUCACUCUUUUCCUUGUUUUAGGCAGCUGGACGACCUUCGGGGAGUAGUUGUGGGAUUCACACCACUUUGCAUGUAGGCCGAAAGGGUGGUGGUCCCUUGAACAGUGUGUUGUGGUUUUGUCCUUGCAGUGUGAGUUGCAGUGGUAGUGAUCAGUGUGCUCACGUGCUGGUGUCUAUUUGGGUUUGUGAUAGAAUCUCCCCGUAGUAAGUACGCUGCCUACAUAAUGCUCCCCGCUAUUUAGGUUGAAGUGUGUUGUAUCUCUGUGGUCACAGUAUUUGUUGUUUUAGCUUUUAUAAACAUUCAGAAAUAAAAAGCUGCUCGUUUUUAUUUAUAAUUGUCGAUGUUUUUCCCCCAUUGUAGUCCUCCCAUUAUUAAAUAAAGAUUUAAUUGUGAACUGAA